rnacentral:misc_RNA from 1 species
GAAGCAGGUGUCUCACCCACGGGCUG